ACUACAGACCAGGAAGUGACAAAUAAUCUGCUGUAAACUACCUUAGAACUUGUCUUUUAUAAGGUGCAAAUUUUUCAUAACAAAAUUGAGAGACUGAAGCAGUGAUUUUACAUAGUUGUCAUUACACAUUUGGGGCUCUGCUUCAAAUAAAGACUUUGAAGCAUACUUGGAAUACAAAGCUUUCUGGGACAGAAACUGAUCUUCUGACUUUUGAGCCGUAUCUGAUUACCACUUGGUUCAUCUUUAUUUUGUUAAACUACUCUGUAGGCUGAAAUGAGGACACUUUUUCUUCUCCGAUGCACAGCCAGAAAGAAGAAGGCGGCACCCGGGUUUCUGCGCAGCUUUCAUCUCUUGAGUUGGACUCUGAUAUGAGGCCUCCUCUUCAGCUGUGCCAUUUCCUGGAGAUCCCAAGUGUCUGUGCAGCAGCCUCUGUCACCCUAUGACCUGCAGGUACUGGGAGAUCUGUAGGGAGGACACCGGGACAUCCCGGGAGCUGGGAAAUGGGAGUGUUGACAUUCGAGGACGUGUCUAUUGAAUUCUCUAUGGAAGAGUGGGUCUGCCUGGACCCUGCUGAGCAGCAUUUGUAUCAGGAAGUCAUGUUAGAAACCUACAGAAACCUGGUCUUGCUGGGUCUUGCUGUCUCUAAGCCAGAACUCAUAACCUGUCUGGAGCAAAGCAAAGAACCCUGGAACAUGAAGACACACCAGACACCAGUCAAGCACCCAGCUCUAUAUAAUCAUUCUACUGAAGAUCAUUUGCAAGAGAGGGGCACAAAUAUUUUAUUUCCAGAUAUGAUCCUGAGCAGAUAUCAAAGCUGUGACUCUGAGAAUUUAAACUUAACAAAAAAUUGGGAAAGUGUGUAUGAGUGUGAUGAGCAGAAAGUAUGUUACAGUGGACUUGACCAAUGUUUAACAGGUACCUAUGGCAAAGUCUUCCAAUGUAGAAACUCUUUGAACACCUUCAGACAAUUGUCAAAUCUCAAUAGACAAACAUUGAUAUAUACCUUAGAGAAAACUUUUAAUUGUAAAAGGUAUGGGAAAGCCUCUAACUUCUGCUCACAUGUUACAGAACAUAAGAUAACUCAUGUUGGAAAAAAACAGGCCAAAUGCAAAGAAGGUAGCCAUGUUUUUCAGUGCUGCUCAAGAUUUCAUACUGGAGAGAAACUGGACAAGUAUGAAAAUGAUGGCAAAUGUCUUAGCCAUAGUUCAAAAUAUUGUAACCAUGAGAAUUUUUAUACUGGUGAAAAAACCAGCAACUACAAGGAAUGUGACAAUCUUACCAAGCAGUACUCACAUGUUUCUGGACAAAAAAGAAUUGAUUCUGGAGAGAAACCCUUCAAACGUGAAGAAUGUGAGAAAACCUUUAACCAGCACUCUCUCCUCUUUACACAUCAAAGAAUUCAUUCUGGAGAUAAACCCUAUAAAUCUCAGGAAUGUGGCAAAGCCUUUAAUAAUUACUCAAAACUUUCUGUACAUCAAAGAAUUCACUCUGGAGACAAACCCUACAAAUGUCAAGAAUGUGGCAAAACUUUUAACCGGCACUCAAACCUUUCUGUACAUCAAAUAAUUCACUCUGAAGAGAAACCCUACAAAUGUCAAGAAUGUGGCAAAGCCUUUAAGCACUACUCAACCCUUUCUGUACAUAAAAGAAUUCACUCUGGAGAGAAACCCUACAAAUGUCAAGAAUGUGGCAAAACUUUUAACCGGUACUCAAACCUUUCUGUACAUCAAAGAAUUCACUCUGGAGACAAACCCUACAAAUGUCAAGAAUGUGGCAAAACUUUUAACCGGCACUCAAACCUUUCUGUACAUCAAAUAAUUCACUCUGGAGAGAAACCCUACAAAUGUCAAGAAUGUGGCAAAGCCUUUAAACACUACUCAACCCUUUCUGUACAUAAAAGAAUUCACUCUGGAGACAAACCCUACAAAUGUCAAGAAUGCAGCAAAGCCUUUUAUGUGUACUCAUGCCUCUCUAAACAUCAAAGAAUUCAUUCUGAAGAGAAAUCCUACAAAUGUCAAGAAUGUGGUAAAGCCUUUAAGCAGCACCCAGGCCUUUUUAUACAUCAAAAAAUUCACUCUGGAGAGAAACCCUACAAAUGUCAAGAAUGUGGCAAAGCCUUUAAGCAGCACUCAGGCCUUUCUGUACAUCAAAGAGUUCACUCUGGAGAGAAACCCUACAAAUGUCAAGAAUGUGGCAAAGCCUUUAACCAUUACUCAAGCUUUUCAGUACAUCAAAGAAUUCACUCUGGAGACAAACCCUACAAAUGUCAAGAAUGUGGCAAAGCCUUUAACAAUCACACAAGCUUUUCAGUACAUCAAAGAAUUCACUCUGGAGAGAAACUCUACAAAUGUGAAGAAUGUGGCAAAGCCUUUAAACAACACUCACACCUUUCUAGACAUCGAAGAAUUCAUUCUGGAGAGAAGCCCUACAAAUGUCAAGAAUGUGGCAAAGCAUUUAACCAUCACACAAGCUUUUCUAGACAUCUAAGAGUUCACUCUGGAGAGAAACCCUACAAAUGUCAAGAAUGUGGCAAAGCCUUUUCCCAGCACUCAGGCCUUUCUGUACAUCAAAGAAUUCAUUCUGGAGAGAAACCCUACAAAUGUCAAGAAUGUGGAAAAUCCUUUAAGUACCACACAAGCUUUUCUAGACAUCAAAGAAUUCACUCUGGAGAGAAACCCUACAAAUGUGAAGAGUGUGGCAAAGCCUUUAUCUGUGUCUCAAACCUUUCUGUACAUCAAAGAAUUCACUCUGGGCAUAAAACUGACAAAUUUAAAUAAUGUACUAAAGCCUUUUACCUUAGUUAAACUCGUGGUGAACAUCACAGAAUUACUUUUGGAGAGAAACUCUACAAAUGUGAAGAAUGCGGCAAAGCAUUUACACUGUACUCAACCCUUUCUGUACAUCAAAGUAUUCAUUCUUGAAAGAAACUCCACAGGGGUCAAAAUGUGGCAUAGACUUUCAUUAGUUUGUAAACAUUUCUAGACAUUUAAGAAUUUAUUGUGGAGAGAAACCUUAUAAAUAUGGACAACAUGGCAAACUAACUCACAUUCAAUCCUCACUGUACAUAGAUGAAAUCAUACAGGAGAGAAACCUUCCAUUUGAAGACUGGCAGUGCCUUGACCUGGUAUUCAUAGCAUGCUAAGCAUAGAAGAAUUCCAACUGGAGAGUAAUCCUACAAAUGUGAGCAGUGUGGCAAUGACUUAAACAGAGCUCAACCCUUACUACACAUAAAAACAGUCAUAUUGGAGAGAAAUCUUCCAAAUGCCAAUAAUGUGGCAAAUGUUUUCAGUAGUCCUCAGUCUUUGUAAACAUAAGAGAAACCAUAGGAGGAAAAAUGGAAACAAUGUGAAGAUGUGGCAAAGCCUCAUGCCAGUAUGCACUGUUUUCUGUACACAAUAAAAUUCAUGUUGAAGAGAAAGUCUACAAAUGUGAAAAGCUUCACAACUGUUUAGUGCUUAAAUCAUUGUAUAAAUAAAAAAAAUUAUAAAAUAGAAAUCACCUACAAAUGAAAGUAUCAAAUCCUAUAACCACUACUCAUUUCAGUACAUAAAAGAAUUCAUAGAGAAAUUCUACUUAUAUGAAGAGUAUGACAAUAUCUUUAAAUAUAUCUCAUGCUUUUCCAAUCCUAAUUCAAAUGGAAGAAAUACUCUACAAAUGUCAGUCACAUCUCACAGCCUUAAAGUUGUGUUUAUCCUGUUAGAUAGGGCUAAGGAGAGACGGGGCAGAUGACAGUAGGAGAUUUUUUGUCCAUACUUAGAGGAACAAAUUGAGCAGAGGGGGCUUCCAAGAAAAAAAAGCUGACAUUUCAAGGCUUCCCAAAACUGAACUGAUGUUUGUUCUACAAAAACGAGUCUCAGAGUUAGAGAGGCCACAAUGUGGAGAUAUGGCCAAGGCCACAAAAAAGGCACUUUGCAGUGGGCAUACAAGUAAGAGGACCGUAAGCUCAAGUGAUCUAUUUUCAUUAACAUAAUACAAUUUACACCAGUUCUAUCAUACUCUACAAUUACAAUGACAAAUAGUGUCCAUUGAUAACAAUGAUAGAAAUGGGAGGACUCUCCAUUCUGGAAGGUUUUCCAUUUUCCAAAAAAAAAAAAAAAAUCAUGAAUAUUUUAUCACCACACCACUUAACAUAGAAUUGGAAAAUCCAUGUAAGGGGCAACAUCUUACUAAUCCCAGGGUCUUCUCUGCUUGAGAAUGUAGAUGUGUUCCUUCCCUGGAGUGCACAGUUCUUUACUAACUUUGUCCUUUUAAACAAUUGUAUCUGCUUGUUCUGCUCAUUUGUUUCACUGUCUUAGUUGUAAUAGCCACUCUUUGACACUUGGAACAAAAAAAUGGAAAACACACCUCACCUCUGGUCCCCUAAUAUCUGAAAUUUUGGUGCCACCAUCUUCAUUAAAAGAUUUGUCAAAAGGGCAGUGUCUGUCACUCAAAGGAGAAGGGCGCCAUACCCAUAUGCUGGAGGUGGUGGGUUCAAGCCCAGCCCUGGCCAAAAACUGCAAACAAACAAACAAAAAAGAUUUGUCAAAGUUUUCCAGAGACAUACAUCAUUUACUCCUGAAGUGUCAGAGCAUAGAAAUCUUUAAACGUCUGCCCUACUUGGAAAUUUUCUUCCACUAAUUAAAAAAAAAAAAAAAAAACAGAUUCAAAGCAGUAGACUUGCUCUUUCUGGACCUGACCAAGCACCAGUCGCCAUCAUGUAAAUUGAUACAGCACAAGAACCAAAAGUUUCGACACAAGGAGCUCAAAAUCUGGGUAUUUAACUAAUGCUGCUGGUCAAGCUGUCCAGGUUUCUGGGCAGAAAGACCAACUCUACCCUCAACCAGGUGGUCCUGAAGAUGUUUUUUAUGAGUUGCACCAAUUGGCCACCACUCUCUCUUUCGUGGAUGAUAUAAAAGAUGAAACUUCCUGGCCAGGAAAACAAAACAGCUGUGUUUGUGGGGAUCAUAACUGAUGUUGUGUUGGUUCAGAAGUGCCCAAACUGAGGGAAUGUUCCUUGUGCAUGUGCAGCUGGACCUGCAUCCUCAUCCUCAAGGCUGGGGAAAGAGCCUCACCUUCAACAAGCUUGCCCUGGACUCCAGCGAGGGCUGUGGCACUGUUCUGCUUUCCGGUUUUCACAAGGGCCAGGAGCAGUACCAGCAUUUUGGCAAAGACGCAUGAAUCCCACACAGCAACACCAAAUACUGUUUCCACUGGAAGGGCUGAAAGUUCAAGUGUACCAGCGGCCAAUGGGACAGCACAGGCUACAAAAACUAACCCUGGAAACUACUAUCUUAUUAAAAAUAUUUUGGAUGCAAAAAUAAACAAAAAACAACAAGCAACAGUGUACUUGACUGAACUGCUCAACCUCUAAAUGUUAUAGUAGAAGCGGCUACACAGUUUUUUGAAAAUGACUUACAAGAGAACAAGAAAAAGAUUUAAAAUUUGCAGUCCUUGCUUUACAAAUUGGAUCAUUGCAGAAGCAAUAGCGGUCCUCUGAAAAUAAAUUAACGUUAUCUUGUUUUAUUCCUCGUAUGUAUGCAGAUACUACAGAAAAUCUGAACAUUGGAAAGUUUAUUGUCUGGUGUUAAAAAAAAAAAAAAAAAGAAAAGAAAAGGAAAACAAAAGCCUCCCCAUGCCUCAGAAAGGUAAAUUUUCUCCUGUUGGACAGUAUUCAGUUGAUGGAUGGCUACAGCUGAUCCUCAAUCCCACCCCACCAUUAAACUUAAAGUAGAGGAUCAGGAACUGGAAUUUUUGAUUGACACUGGUGCGACAUUUUCUCAUUUGAUCAGAAGAAUUAUCUCUACCUCUCACCUCUGAUUCUAUUCAAGCUAAUGGAGUCUCUCCACAACCUACUUCAUUAUCUCUCAGAGUUCUACUAUAUCUCUAGGUUCUGUUAACACUCACCAUGCCUUUCUAAUAUCUGAUUCUCAGCAGCAAACAUUUUUGAUAGAGACCUGUUAUGUAAAUUGAAGGCUACAUUGUAAUGUAAUGAAAAUAGUAUUUUUAUGUUUCUGCUCUCAGAUGAAACUCCAAACUUCCUACUGUCUUUAAUGGAAACCCACUCUGAUUUAAUUCAAUAGUCUCUUAAUGAGACUAUUGUAGGGGGUGUCCCACAUAGACUUUGGGCAAAACAUGUAAAUGAAAUCUGACUACUACUAUGUCCAGAGACUUUAAGCAUCUCCUGAAAAAAAAAAAACAACCUUUUCCCUCAGUAGCUGAAUGCCCCCUCUCAUGAGAUGCAAAACAGGAAAUACACCUAUAAUAGACUCCCUUUUACAGCAGAGAGGACUCAUUUUUAACACCUCACCCUGUAACAUCCCAAUUCUACCAGUGAAAAAGGAAGGAAAAAUUGAUUCAGAUGGGAAUCAAAUCUACCGAUUUGUACAAGAUCUGAGAGCCAUAAACUCCUCUGUAAUCCCUGUACACUCUGCUGUACCAAAUCCAGCUAUAAUCCUUAAUCUUGAUUCCUGCUAAUGCAGCCUGGUUUACAAUGGCUCAUCUCUGCCCAGCUUUCUUUUCAAUUCUCUUGCACCCUGAUUCACAGUUUCUCUUUGCAUUUACCUUCAGAGAGAGACAAUAAAGACCUGAAUUCUCCAAGGAUAAUCUGAAUCUCCUUCAAUAUUCUCUGAAAGUAUCAAGGCUGAUUUAGACUCUUAUAUCUUUACCUGUGGAUCUGCUCUGGUUCAGUACAUUCAUGAUGUUCUACUCUGUAAUCACACUAAACAAGGUGCCCUCUUAGACUCUCUCAUUCUAUUAAAAUCUCUAGCUAAAAAAGGCCAUAAAGCCUCUCAGUUCAAACUCCACUGCGUACAGAACACUUACUUAGUUAGGACCCAAAAUAUCUCAAGGCACUCAAAAACUCACCCCAAAACACCUUGAGUCAAUUUUGUCUAUUCCCUUUCCCAAAACUAAAAAAUAAGUAGGUAUAAUUCUAGGGACAGCUGGCUACUGUCCCCGAUGGAUUGCCAACUUUGCUGCCCUCACUAAGUCAUUAUAUUCCCUUCUUCCUGACAGUAUCCAAGAGCAUAUCCUCUGACCUAGCAGGCAUUAGACUUCUUUAAAAUUCUCAAAUUAGUAUUAUCCACAUCUCUUUCUCUGGGCUUACCCAGUUUUGAUAAACUUUUCCAUUUAUACUGCCAUAAAAAUAAUGGAAUUGCUGCUGGUAUUUUAGGACAGCCUUUUCCCUUUCAGAUCUAUCCUAUAGAGUAUAUUUCAUUUCAAUCAGAUCCCUUGGCUGCAGGCAUGUCCCCAUGCUUAUGUGCGGUAGUGGCAGCUGCCACCCUAAUUAACAAAGCCAGCACCCUCAUAUUAGGUUCCCCUAUUCAUCUACAUGUUCCCCACACUCUCUUACAAGUUCACAAACAGCAUCUCUCUACUAGAUGAUGGACCACCUAUGAACAAUCCUCACUAACCAACCCCUCCACUAUUUUACACCAUUGCAACAUUUUAAAUCCAGCUACAUUCCUACCUCCCCCUGAUGAAGACCUCCUACUACAUUUCACAUGACUGCCUCUCAGCUGUUGAUGUGAUUUUAAAACAAUGAGAAAAUUCCUCAGGAAUUCCUUUAGACAUACCAGACUUAAUUUUCUUUUGUGAAGGCGAUUUCAAAGAUAGUGUAGGGAUUAUGGUGAAAAUUGCCCCUUUCCCUUGGUUGAUUCACUGGAAGAUCUACUCACAAUACUGGUAGAUUUAUAAAAGAAAGAUUUAUUUCUAAAUAUGUGCACGAGGGGAACCACAGAAAUGAUAAUGCAAAUGAUAAGUUCAGAGACUUUUAUAGAUGUCUUUUGGAAAGGAUGGGGAAGAAUAUGGAAAGUAUAGGUGCAGCAAGUGAUUGCUAGGGGGCAGUGUGUGUAGAUGGGUGGAAAGAGAUUUAUCUGUAGAUUAACCUCAGAGACAGGUAUCCUGCUUCAAAUAACUCUGGGAUCAGAUCUAUUAGCAUGGAAAAAGAAAGUCAGCAGCCCCUUCUGAUAAUCAGGUUGCUCAGGUUUUAUGUAGAAAGACAAAAUGCCUCCUUUAAUGCUUCCUGAUCAUGAAUGACCUUUAAGUCAAAAUAUUCUUUAUAUCAAUGAGUCACAUAUUGGGGCAAAAUUUCCUUAGCUCCUUCAAUAGUAUAAUAGCUGGCUAUACUAUAGUUUCUCCACAUGAAAUCCUGGAGGCAUACUCCCUGCCUACUAUAAAAUCAGCACAAUCUGCUGAACUUAUAGCUCUCACUAGAGCUUGCACAUUGGCACAAGGAAAAACUGUCACUACACAGACUCUAAACAUGCCUUUGAAGUCUGCCAUGCAGUUGUCAUGAUUUGGAAAUCUGAGGUUUCUUAACGUCAGCUGGAACCCCUAUUGCCAAUGGGCCUAUAAUUGCUUCCCUUUCAGGUUACUGUUAUUCAUUGUCCAGCCCAUACUAAAGAAACAGAUGCUGUAUUUCUAGGAAAUGAUACAGCUGGCAGAGCUGCAAAACAUGUUGCUGAAAUGGUCCCCCCCCAUCCUUUUUUCAUUCAACUUAUUACCUUCCCCUUAUCCUUAUUUGGUAUCAAUAAUCAUCAGAUUAAUAUCCCACAGACUGUAAAUGAUAAAUGGAUACACAAUUGUGCUAAACAGUUAUCAAAUGAAUUAUAUAUUGGACCAAAUGGACCCACUGUGGCCCUCUUUUCUUUAACUUUUUGGCUUGCACUUAUCCCUCACCAAAUGGGACCUAUGUGCAAGUGGGAGAUAAUUAAGGAACUAAAAUAUAGUCGUUACUUCCCUGGGAUCUACAGAAUCUCUGACCAAAUUAUUUUUCAGUAUACUAUUUGUAAAUUUCACCAAAUCUCUGGAGGAGACCAAUAAUCUCUAGGGAGUCCCCAGUGACAUGUUGCCAUUUAUGGCACUCCAAAUCGAUUUUAUAGAUUUACCUCCAGCUUUAGGGUUUUCUUACUGCUUAGUUAUUAUCUGUUUACUGGGUGGACUGAAUGUUACAAAGCCAGAUGUGCAGAUGCUCUGACAGUAGUAAAGAAAUUGAUACUUGAAAUUAUUCCUUCAUUUGGUAUACCCUUAUGGAUUAAAUCAGAACAAGGAGCACAUUUCUUUUCUUUUUUUCUUUCUUUCCUUUUGUUUUUUAAGACAGAGUCUCACUUUGUUUUUUCUGGAGAGUGCUGUGGUCUUAUAGCUCACAUCAACCUCAAAAGCUUGGGCUCAAGCAAUUCUCUUGCCUCAGCCUCCCUAGUAGCUGGUACUACAGUCAGCUGCCACAACACCUGCCUGGGUUUUUUGUUUGUGUCUUUCUUUGUUUAUCACUCCUGUGCUGGGUUCUAACCGAAAAGCCCCUUUGCACGUAGCCAGUGCCCUAAAGCUAUGGACACCACCCAAGGAACACUUCACAGCAGAAAUAAACCGUCUGCUUGCAAAGGCUCUGGGGUACUCAUUAAAAUUUUGUAUCCCAUGUCAUCCUCAAUCCUCAGGACAGGUAAAAUGUAAAAACCUAGACAUAAACAGAAGUUUGGCAAAAACAUGUCAAGACAUUGGACUUAAAUGCCCAGAAGCACUACCUUUGCCCAUUAUAAACAUCCAUAACAUCUCAAAUACAACACAUGGAUUAACACCCUUUGUAAUAGUGUUUGAUCACCCUAUGUCUGUUGGUACCCCUAAACUUCCUGGGCUGACUGGAAAGUAUAGCCAUCUGAGUGAACAAUUUGAUACCAUGACUAGCUAUAUACGGGGACAGAUUAAUGUACUUGGAACAUGUUGUCAACAGUGAGAAAAGCACGGACUCCAACAACUGAUAAGCCUUGCCAUCCCUUUCAACCAGGAAGUCAUGUAUACAUCAAAAUUUUUAGAAGAAAACAUGCACUGUCACCUUGCUCAGAAGGCCCUGAUGAAGUACUCUUAACCACCAGCACUGUCAAAAAACAAAAAGAAAAACACUCCUGGAUUCACUUGAGACACUCCAGAAUACACCGAAACCGUUAUAGAUUGACCCCUACAGGUAACCUGAAAGUAAGGAUUUCCCGGGUCUGUCCCCAGGCUUCUAAAGUAGAUGACUCCCGGAAGUAGACAGCUAUAUCCCAAAGUCACGGAUCAAGAAACCUCAUUUAAUCUAUAUUCCUUGCCUUUUAAUCUUCCCAAUGGUCAUUUUUAAACAAUUUUUACUUUAGGUAUCCCACACUUUCAGACAUAACACAGUUGAAGCUGAGUAGAAGUUACCUCAAUUAUUGCAUUCUCUCUUAUCUUCCACUAUUGCUCUUCUUUCAAACUAUGCCUUACUCUUACUACUAACACUUACUGUUUUUCCAGCAGGUGAAGCGCAGACAUGGCACCCUUUUGUACCAGUCUUUCAAACCCAGGCCACACUAACUCAUCAGUCUGAUUGCUGGUUAUGCCAACAUGUAGAUCAUGCAAAGAAAACAGAAUUUGUUUUUAUUUCUGCCAAUAUGAGUGUCUGGUGGAGCCAAUCUGGAAAACAGAAGUAUGAAAGGAUGUGGCAUCGACAGCCAGAGAAGAAGCAACAUAGUCUUCACCUAAUGGGCUUCACACUUGUCUGAAGAUGACCCAGGAUGCCCAAAACAUCCAGUUUACUGGAGUGUUCCACGAAUAUCAAUUCCUGGCACAUACCUAUCCAGUGGAUAGCCUGAAAUAUGGGGAUGGAGCCUCUCAGAGAGUAAAUGAAUGGCUUUCACCUUGAGAGUAGUCUCUUAUUAUACCCUUCAUGUAAAUAGCUAAACAAUUGGGACUUUACUUGGUUUUUUUUUGGAGACACUGUCAAGCUGUCACCCUAGGUGACGUCACAGCUCACAUCAAACUCAAACUCUUCGGUUUAAGCAAUUCUCUUGUCUCAGCCACCCAAGUUAGUUGGGAUUACAGGCACCCACUACAAUGCCUGGCUAUUUUUUUGGCAGUUGUCAUUGUUGUUUAACUGGCAAAGGCUGGGUUUGAACCCACCACCCUUGGUAUAUGUGGCCAGUGACCUGAUGAUUCAGCUCAGCCACCACCCAGGAUUUUAAUUGUUUUUAAUACCAGCCUCUAUAUUCAUUUCUGUUCUAUAUUUCCUUUCCCAGUUUCUCCUGCUAUAGCACUCUCGUUGGAGGUUUCAGGCAAUAACCUUCAAAGUCACCUGGCAGGGCUUUUCUAUUUCUCUGGUCAGGACCAGCAUUCAGAUUUCCGGGAACUGUGACUCCUCUGGGGUUCUCUACCCCGGCCUUAAUUGUAGAUGGUGGUAGGUCAAUAUAAGUACGAGUUUUGACCUUUCCCUGUGUUAAACAUAGAGUAGUGUAUCUGGUGAGGAGCUCAAGCUCCCUCCUGGUGACUUUGCAUUCAUAGAAGCUAUAAAGGAGUCAUUCUUUGUCCUAACUCAAUGAUGUGGUUACCCAGAUUACAUCCCUCCUCCCCUUUUCCCAAAGUCCAAUUAAGACAAGUCCCGCAAGAAGCUUCCUCAGGCUUCAGCAGUGUGCCAACUAUCUGGCUGCUAGUGUGUGGCUGGAACAAGGCACAUUGACCAUCUUAAAAGUUACUUUUGCUUCCCACAGGGCAUUAAAGCUCUCUUCAGCCACUGUGAUGAAUCCAGGCAAGGAUUCCUUUCGUCUUUGUUGCCAUGCAUGUGGUCAAGUUGAUGGUAUAAAUGCCCUUCUACCUUGGUUUCAGGGAGAUCAGGUUCUGAUCUUUGACCUAGAUGUGAUCUCCUUGAUCCCCCAGAGAGAAAGAAUGUACCAACACAAAAGACUAAGCAAAACAUGGUUAAUUACCCAAGAGUAGAUCUUUCUUGUUACUCUUCCUAGGUCUUCUGCCUGUUGAAUUCAGUCUCUUCCCCCUUAGUAAUGUCAUACAGUGGUUUGGAAGUCUGUAUGUUUCACAGUUUUUCUCAGAAAUUCUCAGGGCUUUCAUCUGGCUUCUGCAUCACCUCACCCACUUUGCAUAUGUGUGUGGCCUUCUGGUUCCCUGAAACUGACAGGGAUGAAGUCAAGGUUGGGUUCAGUGUAAGAGAAUGAAACCACUUAGGAGUUACCUACAAAUAUCUACAAGUUCUGUAUUUCGAGGCUAAGGUUUACACAAUGAGAGCAUUAGUAUACCUACUUAAACACUUAGCACAGUUCUUAAGUUAAUACCUAGUUUUAAGAGGCCCUACAGAACUACUCCAAAUUUCUGGAAACUUCGAGUGAAUAUUUGUGAACAUCAGUUGGGUGUGGGGCCCUUUAUGUGGUUGUCACACUCACAUCAUAUACUGGGAAAUUCUCAUUCAAAUUCUAAUUUUCCUGAGGUAUCUACUGUGUACAACAUUUAAUACUGCACAGAUUUUUCCAGUGUAGCCAACAGGAGACCUUUGUUGAGCCUUAAAGUUUCAGAGCAAAUAUAAAUAUUAGAUAUUGUUCUAUACUCGUUGCCCAAGAAUUGCCUAAGCCCAAGAGUUUGAGGUUGCUGUGAGUUGUCACAGCAGGGUACGCUAACAAGGGUGACAGACAGAUUCUGUAUUAAAAAGAAAAAUUUUUUUUCAUUCUUUUUGCCCUUUUAAAUUCAUUGAACAAAUCAGUUUAGUAAAACAGCUAUGUCUCAGUUUAUGAGAUGAUGUUUAUAAGGCUGGAAUCUAAUACAGUUUUUUUUCCCCUUUUGAAUCAUUUCUCUCUCUUUAAUUUUUUCUUUAAUAAAGGCAAAUUAUAGCACAACUAACUUAGUUGCCAAAAUAAACCGUACCUUAUGUAUACUAGGUCUGUAUUUGCAUAAAGUGCAGCAAGAAUAAUUAUUAGCCACAUAGACUUUUCUUGUCUUUAAAAUUGGCUUUUCUGAAACCUUUAAUAAAAAUCUCAGGUUAGACUUGAAAGCCUUCCACAAGCCCAGGUUUCAUCUCUGCCAUUAGAUACCUCUAUGCAUUGGGUAAAUUCCUCUUCUCUUGAGGUCCCCAAGCCAAUUCAGACUUUGGAACAUGUCAGAAAGCAACCUUCUUUACUUAUCACAGAUCAGGAAACGUUAUUGAUGAGUAUCUGGCCAGUUUUUCCAAAGGGCUUUUUUUAUUGGUCUUGUAAAGUCACCCUUAAUUCCUUAGCAAUUUGGAAUCCUCUGAGUCACAGUCUUGGUAAAAUAACCAGUGCCUUCAUAACAUCCUAUAGAAGAAAACGGAUUCUUAUUGAAGUUAUGCAAAUAACUGUACUGUUAGAAAUUAAGAAUACUUACAAAUGGCUUUCAAAUUCUGGAGAAAUCAAGGAGAGAGAAAAAAAUAAAUGUUUCAAAUUCUACCUAUAAGUACAUACAUCAUUGAAAUCUACAAAUAGCUGAAGAUACAGAAAAUGGCUUUUAUUACUUCUGUAAAACAGAAUACAGACUGGAUCACCAGUGUUGCAAACCAAAAAAGCCCUAACAAAUCAGCCCCAUUCCAUGUAAAUGAUUUCUUUUCUGUUAAAAGUUAGAUUAGCAGGGCAGCCGAGUGACAGCUUCCUUGCAUCUGGGCACCGUGAGUCUGGGAGAUAGGACUCCAGGCAUCUCUGGCUGGUGGGAUCUGCCUAUCAUCACCCCUAAGAGGAUACAGGGAGUCAGCGAGAGACUUCUGGACCCCAAGAGGAGGACUAAAACAGUUGAAAACCGGAAGUGGUCACGUGUGUUCAAUCCGUCUAAACCCGACCGCAACUGUAAAUUCAGUAGCAGUGAGACUGCAAACCAGAAAGGCCUUACCUGUGAACUGUUUUGGUGUCUUUGGACUUGGCACUCAGCUGAACUGCCUUGGGGAGAGCCUGAGCGGGAGUGCAGAGAACUUUGGCCUUUGUCUAGGGUCACAGUCUGAGCCGCUGAGCCAGACGGAGCUAAUAGUGUUUGGCUCUGGGUCAGAGGCAGCCAUUUUGAGCGAUCUGCCCCAGCAAGCUCCACCCUCAGGGUCGCAGAGCUAGAAUUGGGUGGGAGCAGGUAACCCAGGAACCAAGUAGCCUAAGGGCAGGGUCUGAGCCGCCUUGAAGCCCUAACCCUCAGAGGCAGAGGGAGAACAGUUUUGGCACACAGGGUAAGUGGAUAGCCACUUCAGCAGUGAUUCCAGCGACAAGAACUUCCCUGGGAAAGCUUCUGCUCAGCAAGUGAAUAAGUUCAAAGAGCCUUUUAAGUGGGCCGAAGAGAGAUUUAGGGUGUCUACCUGCUGGGGUUUGAGAAACUAGCAGCCUCCAGUAGUAUCAGAACUGUGAUUAACAUCUCAUACUCCAGAAGACCACGUGUUGCCCAGACA